CCUACGGGUGGCUGCAGUGGGAAAUAUUGGGCAAUGGAGGCAACUCUGACCCAGCAACGCCGCGUGAAUGAUGAAGGUCUUCGGCAUGUAAAGUUCUGUGAUGCGGGAUGAACACAAUGGCGGUACCCCAAUAGCAAGCCACGGCGAACUACGUGCCAGCAGCCUCAGGAAUACGUAGGUGGCAAUUGUUAUCCGGAAUGACGAGGGGUCAAGGGUGCGUCGGUGGUUUAGUAAGGUGGGGGUGUAAUGCCGGGGCUCAACCUCGGCGCUACUGCCAAAACUAUUAGACUAGAGAGCAGGAGGGGUAAGGGGAAUUCCGAGUGUAGCGGUGGAAUGCGUAGAUAUUAGGAGGAACUUCAGGGGCGAAGGCGACUUACUGGACGGUAACUGACGCUGAGGCACGAAAGCGUGGGGAGCAAACAGGAUUAGAUACCCGUGUAGUC
rnacentral:rRNA from 1 species